rnacentral:rRNA from 1 species
GCUUACACAUGCAAGUUCGAACGCUGAAGCCAGAAACUCGCUUUCUGGUGGAUGAGUGGCGAACGGGUGAGUAACACGUGAGUAACCUGCCCCCGAUUUCGGGAUAAGCCCGGGAAACCGGGUCUAAUACCGGAUACGACCUGCCCUCGCAUGAGGGUUUGGUGGAAAGUUUUUCGAUCGGGGAUGGGCUCGCGGCCUAUCAGCUUGUUGGUGGGGUAAUGGCCUACCAAGGCGACGACGGGUAGCCGGCCUGAGAGGGCGAUCGGCCACACUGGGACUGAGACACGGCCCAGACUCCUACGGGAGGCAGCAGUGGGGAAUAUUGCACAAUGGGGGAAACCCUGAUGCAGCGACGCAGCGUGCGGGAUGACGGCCUUCGGGUUGUAAACCGCUUUCAGCAGGGAAGAAGCCGUAAGGUGACGGUACCUGCAGAAGAAGUACCGGCUAACUACGUGCCAGCAGCCGCGGUAAUACGUAGGGUACGAGCGUUGUCCGGAAUUAUUGGGCGUAAAGAGCUCGUAGGUGGUUGGUCACGUCUGCUGUGGAAACGCAACGCUUAACGUUGCGCGUGCAGUGGGUACGGGCUGACUAGAGUGCAGUAGGGGAGUCUGGAAUUCCUGGUGUAGCGGUGAAAUGCGCAGAUAUCAGGAAGAACCACGGUUGCGAAAGCAGGGACUCUGGCUGUACUGACACUG